rnacentral:rRNA from 1 species
GACGAACGCUGGCGGCGUGCCUAAUACAUGCAAGUCGAACGCAGUGGGGACGGGUGAGUAACACGUGGGUAACCUCCCAUCAGAGGGGAUAACACUUGGAAACAGGUGCUAAACCGAUACUGAUGGAUGGACCCGCGGUGCAUUAGCUAGUUGGUGAGGUAACGGCUCACCAAGGCGACGAUCCGUAGCUGGUUUGGAGGGAGGACCGCCCACACGGGGACUGAGACACGGCCCAGACUCCUACGGGAGGAGGCAGUGGGGAAUUUUGGACAAUGGGGAAAACCCUGAUCCAGCCAUCCCGCGUGUGCGAUGAAGGCCUUCGGGUGGUAAAGCACUUUUGGCAGGAAAGCGGUACCUGCAGAAUAAGCACCGGCUAACUACGUGCCAGCAGCCGCGGUAAUAC